rnacentral:misc_RNA from 1 species
GAUGAAGAACGUAGCGAAAUGCGAUACGUAAUGUGAAUUGCAAAUUCAGUGAAUCAUCGAGUCUUUGAACGCACAUUGCGCCCCCUGGUAUUCCGGGGGGCAUGCCUGUCCGAGCGUCAUUGCUGCCCUCAAGCACGGCUUGUGUGUUGGGCCCCGUCCUCCGAUCCCGGGGGACGGGCCCGAAAGGCAGCGGCGGCACCGCGUCCGGUCCUCGAGCGUAUGGGGCUUUGUCACCCGCUCUGCAGGCCCGGCCGGCGCUGGCCGACGCGAAAGCAACCAUUUUUUCUCCAGGUUGACCUCGGAUCAGGUAGGGAUACCCGCUGAACUUAAGCAUAUCAAUAAGCGGAGGA